GUUGGGUAGGGGAGCGUUCUGUAAGCCUGUGAAGGUGGCCUGUGAGGGUUGCUGGAGGUAUCAGAAGUGCGAAUGCUGACAUAAGUAACGAUAAAGCGGGUGAAAAGCCCGCUCGCCGGAAGACCAAGGGUUCCUGUCCAACGUUAAUCGGGGCAGGGUGAGUCGACCCCUAAGGCGAGGCCGAAAGGCGUAGUCGAUGGGAAACGGGUUAAUAUUCCCGUACUUGGUGUUACUGCGAAGGGGGGACGGAGAAGGCUAUGUUGGCCGGGCGACGGUUGUCCCGGUUUAAGCGUGUAGGUGUGUGUUCCAGGUAAAUCCGGUUCACUUUAACACUGAGGCGUGAUGACGAGGCACUACGGUGCUGAAGCAACAAAUGCCCUGCUUCCAGGAAAAGCCUCUAAGCAUCAGGUAACAUCAAAUCGUACCCCAAACCGACACAGGUGGUCAGGUAGAGAAUACCAAGGCGCUUGAGAGAACUCGGGUGAAGGAACUAGGCAAAAUGGUGCCGUAACUUCGGGAGAAGGCACGCUGACAUGUAGGUGAAGUGAUUUACUCACGGAGCUGAAGUCAGUCGAAGAUACCAGCUGGCUGCAACUGUUUAUUAAAAACACAGCACUGUGCAAACACGAAAGUGGACGUAUACGGUGUGACGCCUGCCCGGUGCCGGAAGGUUAAUUGAUGGGGUCAGCGCAAGCGAAGCUCCUGAUCGAAGCCCCGGUAAACGGCGGCCGUAACUAUAACGGUCCUAAGGUAGCGAAAUUCCUUGUCGGGUAAGUUCCGACCUGCACGAAUGGCGUAAUGAUGGCCAGGCUGUCUCCACCCGAGACUCAGUGAAAUUGAACUCGCUGUGAAGAUGCAGUGUACCCGCGGCAAGACGGAAAGACCCCGUGAACCUUUACUAUAGCUUGACACUGAACAUUGAGCCUUGAUGUGUAGGAUAGGUGGGAGGCUUUGAAGUGUGGACGCCAGUCUGCAUGGAGCCGACCUUGAAAUACCACCCUUUAAUGUUUGAUGUUCUAACGUGGACCCGUUACCCGGGUUGCGGACAGUGUCUGGUGGGUAGUUUGACUGGGGCGGUCUCCUCCUAAAGAGUAACGGAGGAGCACGAAGGUUGGCUAAUCCUGGUCGGACAUCAGGAGGUUAGUGCAAUGGCAUAAGCCAGCUUGACUGCGAGCGUGACGGCGCGAGCAGGUGCGAAAGCAGGUCAUAGUGAUCCGGUGGUUCUGAAUGGAAGGGCCAUCGCUCAACGGAUAAAAGGUACUCCGGGGAUAACAGGCUGAUACCGCCCAAGAGUUCAUAUCGACGGCGGUGUUUGGCACCUCGAUGUCGGCUCAUCACAUCCUGGGGCUGAAGUAGGUCCCAAGGGUAUGGCUGUUCGCCAUUUAAAGUGGUACGCGAGCUGGGUUUAGAACGUCGUGAGACAGUUCGGUCCCUAUCUGCCGUGGGCGCUGGAGAACUGAGGGGGGCUGCUCCUAGUACGAGAGGACCGGAGUGGACGCAUCACUGGUGUUCGGGUUGUCAUGCCAAUGGCACUGCCCGGUAGCUAAAUGCGGAAGAGAUAAGUGCUGAAAGCAUCUAAGCACGAAACUUGCCCCGAGAUGAGUUCUCCCUGAGACUUAGAGUCUCCUGAAGGAACGUUGAAGACGACGACGUUGAUAGGCCGGGUGUGUAAGCGCAGCGAUGCGUUGAGCUAACCGGUACUAAUGAACCGUGAGGCUUAACCUUACAACGCCGAAG
rnacentral:rRNA from 1 species